rnacentral:rRNA from 1 species
CCUACGGGAGGCAGCAGUGAGGAAUAUUCGCCAAUGGGCGUAAGCCUGAACCAGCCAAGUCGCGUGAGUGAUGAAGGUUCUAUGGAUCGUAAACCUCUUUUAUAAGGGAAUAAAGUGCGGGACGUGUCCCGUUUUGUAUGUACCUUAUGAAUAAGGAUCGGCUAACUCCGUGCCAGCAGCCGCGGUAAUACGGAGGAUCCGAGCGUUAUCCGGAUUUAUUUGGUUUAAAGGGUGCGUAGGCGGCCUUUUAAGUCAGCGGUGAAAGGCUGGGGCUCAACCAUAGACUUGCCGUUGAAAAUGGGAGGCUUGAGUAUGUUUGAGGCAGGCGGAAUGCGUGGUGUAGCGGUGAAAUGCGUAGAUAUCACGCAGAACACCGAUUGCGAAGGCAGCCUGCCAAGCCAUGACUGACGCUGAUGCACGAAAGCGUGGGGAGCAAACAGGAUUAGAUACCCCAGUAGUC